rnacentral:rRNA from 1 species
UUCUGGGCGCGGUAACUUACAUGCUUUGUGGGGUGAAAUACCGUCCCGCGGGACGACCGACUCACGCGUGGUAACGUACCUUUUGGUUCGGAACCACACACGGAAACUUGGGCUAGUGCCGGACAAGCCCUUACAGGGAAAGAUUUAUCGCCGAAAGAUCGGGCCGAGUCUGAUUAGCUAGGUGGCGAGGUUAUGGCUCACCAAGGCGACCAUCCCUAACUGGCCUGAUAGGAUGAUCAUUCUCAUUGGGACUGAGACACGGCCCAAACUCCUACGGGAGGCUGCCGUGGUCAAUAUUGUACAAUGGGGGCAACCCUGAUCCACCCCUGCCGCGGGAGUGAUGAAUGCCCUCGGCUUGUGAAGCUCUUUUGUCCCGGAAGAUAAUGUCGGCCCCGCUCGAAUAAGCCCCGGUUAACUUCGUGCCACCAGCCGCGGGAAUACGAAGGGGGCUAGCGUUGCUCGUAAUCACUGGCCGUACAGGGUGUGUAGGCGGGUCUUUAAGUCAUGCGCGAAAUCCUGGAGCUCAACUCCAGAACUGCCUUUUAUACUGAACAUCUUGAAUUCCGUAGAGGUGUAUGCAUCUGCCAGUGCUCACCGUGAAAUUCUGCAUAUAUUCGCAAGAACCCCCACUGGCGAAGGCAGCCCACUGACCCGGUACAUGACUCUGAUUCCCGCAAGCACGAGCGAGCAAUCAGGAUUAUGAUUCCCUGGUCAGUCCUUUCCCGGAAACAAAGGAAUGCCCCGCGGUCUAGUGGGGCUUACUCUCCUCAAUGGGGGGGGCUUAAGGCAUUUUAUACAUUACGUCCAGC